GACGAACGCUGGCGGCGUGCCUAAUACAUGCAAGUAGGACGCAGUUGCGAACGGGUGAGUAACGCGUAGGUAACUACCUAUUAGAGGGGGAUAACUAUUGGAAACGAUAGAUGAUACCGCAUACUAGUAGAUGGACCUGCGUUGUAUUAGCUAGUAGGUAGGGUAAGGGCCUACCUAGGCAACGCUACAUAGCCGACCUUUGAGGUGGAUCGGCCACACUGGGACUUGGACCCGGCCCAGACCCCUACGGGAGGCAGCAUGAGGGAAUCUUCCGCAAUGGGGGGAACCCCGACCCAGCAACGCCGCGUGAUUGAAGAAGGUUUUCGGAACGUAAAGCUCAGUUGUUAAGGAAGCGGUACUUAACCAGAAAGGGACGGCUAACUACGUGCCAGCAGCCGCGGUAAUAC
rnacentral:rRNA from 1 species